rnacentral:rRNA from 1 species
AACGAACGCUGGCGGCAGGCUUAACACAUGCAAGUCGAACGCAUCCUUCGGGGUGAGUGGCAGACGGGUGAGUAACGCGUGGGAACGUGCCCUUCAGUUCGGGAUAACCCAGGGAAACUUGGGCUAAUACCGGAUACGUGCGAGAGCAGAAAGAUUUAUCGCUGAAGGAUCGGCCCGCGUCUGAUUAGCUAGUUGGUGGGGUAAUGGGCCACAAAGGCGACGAUCAGUAGCUGGUCUGAGAGGAUGAUCAGCCACAUUGGGACUGAGACACGGCCCAAACUCCUACGGGAGGCAGCAGUGGGGAAUAUUGGACAAUGGGCGCAAGCCUGAUCCAGCCAUGCCGCGUGAGUGAUGAGGGCCUUAGGGUUGUAAAGCUCUUUCGUCCGGGACGAUAAUGACGGUACCGGAAGAAGAAGCCCCGGCUAACUUCGUGCCAGCCGCCGCCGUAA